GAUGAACGCUGGCGGCGUGCCUAAUACAUGCAAGUCGAGCGAACAGACGAGAAGCUUGCUUCUCUGAUGUUAGCGGCGGACGGGUGAGUAACACGUGGAUAACCUACCUAUAAGACUGGGAUAACUUCGGGAAACCGUAGCUAAUACCGGAUAAUAUUUUGAACCGCAUGGUUCAAAGGUGAAAGACGGUCUUGCUGUCACUUAUAGAUGGAUCCGCGCUGCAUUAGCUAGUUGGUAAGGUAACGGCUUACCAAGGCAACGAUGCAUAGCCGACCUGAGAGGGGGAUCGGCCACACUGGAAAUGAGACACGGUCCAGACUCCUACGGGAGGCAGCAGUAGGGAAUCUUCCGCAAUGGGCGAAAGCAUGACGGAGCAACGCCGCGUGAGUGAUGAAGGUCUUCGGAUCGUAAAACUCUGUUAUUAGGGAAGAACAUAUGUGUAAGUAACUGUGCACAUCUUGACGGUACCUAAUCAGAAAGCCACGGCUAACUACGUG
rnacentral:rRNA from 1 species